UACGACUACAUAUCAGGCAUAUCAAUAAGCGGAGGAAAAGAAACUAACUAGGAUUCCCUCAGUAACGGCGAGUGAAGCGGGAAGAGCUCAAAUUUGAAAUCUUCAAGGUUCUACCUUGACGAAUUGUAGUUUAAAGAAGUGUUUUCUGUUGGAGUUUUGGUAAAAGUUCCUUGGAAUAGGACAUCAUAGAGGGUGAGAAUCCCGUAUUUGACCAUUAUUUCCAACUUUGUGAUACACUUUCAAAGAGUCGGAUUGUUUGGGAAUGCAGUCCAAAAUGGGUGGUAAAUUUCAUCUAAAGCUAAAUACUGGCGAGAGACCGAUAGCGAACAAGUACCGUGAGGGAAAGAUGAAAAGAACUUUGAAAAGAGAGUUAAACAGUACGUGAAAUUGUCAAAAGGGAAGCGUUUGACACCAGUGUUGUUUUCUCGAAAAUCAAUUAAAAAUGGCGGGAUUUUGUGCUGUAUUGACUUUAUCAGCUUUCUGCACUUUUUUCCUGUCUUUUUUAAUGCACUUUUCGUUUAACAAGUCAACAUCAAUUUCUUUUGUUGUAAAAGAGUCAUUGGAAGGUGGCUUUUUCUUCGGAAAAAGUGUUUAUAGCCCUUGGCUUCUGCAAUCGGAGAGAUUGAGGUCUGCAGCGUAGAUCCUUCGGGGUUAGAUACAUUUGUGCUAAGCUAUAGUUUUUCAUAGACAACAUGUUGACUAUGAUUAAUCAUGUAGCUUACUCGCUUAUGCUAUUUUACCUACGCUUAGGAUGUUGAACGCGCACAGAGUCUC
rnacentral:rRNA from 1 species